GUCUAAAGGAUGAGGCUAUAUGGUAUCAGGUAGUUGGUGGGGUAAGAGCCCACCAAGCCAAUGACGCCUAGCUGGUCUGAGAGGAUGAUCUGCCACACUGGAACUGAGACACGGUCCAGACUCCUACGGGAGGCAGCAGUGGGGAAUAUUGCACAAUGGAGGAAACUCUGAUGCAGCAACGCCGCGUGGAGGAUGACGCAUUUCGGUGUGUAAACUCCUUUUAUAUGGGAAGAUAAUGACGGUACCAUAUGAAUAAGCACCGGCUAACUCCGUGCCAGCAGCCGCGGUAAUACGGAGGGUGCAAGCGUUACUCGGAAUCACUGGGCGUAAAGCGCGCGCAGGCGGCCUUUUAAGUUGGAUGUGAAAGCCUACGGCUCAACCGUAGAACUGCAUCCAAAACUAUUGGGCUAGAGUGUGGGAGAGGAAGAUGGAAUUAGUUGUGUAGGGGUAAAAUCCGUAGAGAUAACUAGGAAUACCAAAAGCGAAGGCAAUCUUCUGGAACAUUACUGACGCUGAGGCGCGAAAGCGUGGGGAGCAAACAGGAUUAGAUACCCUGGUAGUCCACGCCCCAAACGAUGAAUGUUAGUCGUCGGGUAGCUAGUCUAUUCGGUGAUGCAGCUAACGCAUUAAACAUUCCGCCUGGGGAGUACGGUCGCAAGAUUAAAACUCAAAGGAAUAGACGGGGACCCGCACAAGUGGUGGAGCAUGUGGUUUAAUUCGAAAAUACGCGAAGAACCUUACCUAGCCUUGACAUAUAUUAGAACACCCUAGAGAUAGAGUGGUGCCUUCGGGAGCUUUUAUACAGGUGCUGCACGGCUGUCGUCAGCUCGUGUCGUGAGAUGUUGGGUUAAGUCCCGCAACGAGCGCAACCCUCGUCACUAGUUACUAACGGUUCGGCCGAGGACUCUAGUGAGACUGCCUUCGUAAGGAGGAGGAAGGUGAGGACGACGUCAAGUCAUCAUGGCCCUUACGGCUAGGGCAACACACGUGCUACAAUGGCCAGGACAAUGAGACGCGAUACCGCGAGUUGGAGCAAAUCUAUAAACCUGGUCUCAGUUCGGAUUGUAGUCUGCAACUCGACUACAUGAAGCUGGAAUCACUAGUAAUCGUAGAUCAGCUAUGCUACGGUGAACACGUUCCCGGGUCUUGUACUCACCGCCCGUCACACCAUGGGAGUUGAUUUCACCCGAAGCGGGGAAGCU
rnacentral:rRNA from 1 species